UUCCGUAGGUGAACCUGCGGAAGGAUCAUUAACACGAAUAUCCAUUUUACACCUUAAUCAUAAACGUGGCGAACUUUUCGGAGUGAGCCUAUAACUUAUUGCCGGGUCGUGCCCAGGUGCGGCUUAGGCGUAAGGCGUUUAACCUUUUUUUCAACCACUACUGUGUUUGAAAUUUUAUACUUCUGUAUCACAACUUUUAACGGUGGAUGCCUCGGCUUGAGCAUCGAUGAAGGACGCAGCAAAAUGCGAUAAGCACUGCGAAUGGCAGAAUUUCGAGAAUCAAUAGAAUGCUGAACGCAUACUGCACUUUUGGGUCACUCCGAAAGUAUGUUUUCUUCAGGGCGUUUAUACUCUAAUGCAAUCUGAUGCGCUAACUUUGUUAGCCUCAUGAUUCGCGUCUUUGUGUGUCAGCGUCUGUAAAGCGCUCUAGCGCCGCUGACACAUUAAAUUAAGUAGUUGGCUUCAACUAUUCAAGCUACCGCUUUGUGUUGAACAUCUGUUCUCAUAAGUGGCACUUGAUAUGGAGCUGAUAGGACUGCAAAACUUUGAUAUAACAUUUUCGCAUGAAGUGAAACAGGGCUACCCGCUGAAUUUAAGCAUAUCAAUAAGCG
rnacentral:rRNA from 1 species